GAAAGGUUUCGGCCGGACAGAGAUGGGCAUGCGGCGCAUUAGGCAGUUGGCGGGGUAACGGCCCACCAAACCGACGAUGCGUAGGGGUUCUGAGAGGAAGGUCCCCCACACUGGUACUGAGACACGGACCAGACUCCUACGGGAGGCAGCAGUGAGGAAUAUUGGUCAAUGGCCGGAAGGCUGAACCAGCCAAGCCGCGUGAAGGAUGAAGGUGCCAAGCAUUGUAAACUUCUUUUGUCAAGGGACAAAAUCAGGCUCGAGAGCCUGACCGAGGGUACUUGAAGAAAAAGCAUCGGCUAACUCCGUGCCAGCAGCCGCGGUAAUACGGAGGAUGCGAGCGUUAUCCGGAUUUAUUGGGUUUAAAGGGUGCGUAGGCGGGCUGUUAAGUCAGCGGUAAAAGCCCGGGGCUCAACCCCGGCGAGCCGUUGAAACUGGCGGUCUUGAGAGGCCGAGAGGUAUGCGGAAUGCGCAGUGUAGCGGUGAAAUGCUUAGAUAUUGCGCAGAACUCCGAUUGCGAAGGCAGCAUACCGGCGGCGAUCUGACGCUGAGGCACGAAAGCGUGGGUAUCGAACAGGAUUAGAUACCCUGGUAGUCCACGCAGUAAACGAUGAAUACUGGCUGUGUGGCCCGACAGAGG
rnacentral:rRNA from 1 species